GAGGGUGUAGCUCAAGUGGUAGGGCACAAGCUUAGCAUGCAUGGGGUCCUGGGUUCAAUCCCCAGUACCUCCU
rfam:Camelus ferus unplaced genomic scaffold scaffold547, whole genome shotgun sequence.